AUGAAAGUAGUAGGAAGAAAAUUGGAAAGAAGUCUGUACAAAUAAAAGCUAAGGGAGAAAAGUCUGAGCAGCACAAGAUCCAGUCAAUUCCCUGCUUCCAGUCCUACAGAGAGAAGAUUUCAUGCCACUCUCCCACUUCCCAGGUCCCUUUCUCCUGUUUUGUGAGAAGGCACAGUAUCUUGUCACUAACUCUAAAUAGUUUGUGGAUCUGAGGGUGCACAGGUGUGCUGUGGAUAUGCUGAGCCACCUGAUCACGUACCAUGGCAAAAUGGAAAUACGGUUACACCCUGAGAGAGAGCACAGCUGACUGCCAAGGUCCCGAAAACCUUUCCAACACAUUGCACAAGUGUGGAAGUGGUACAAGAAAAGCAUGAUGCAAAGCAGUCUGCAGCUCUCCACACGGAUCACUACACAAUAGCCUCGCAUGGAGGCCGGAGACAAACUCCCAGUGAUUCAAACAGCAACUUCACAGGACUGUACUUACCGAGGGAGAGAAAAGGGAGGAGUAUGCCCUUUGGGAAGAAGGUGGAAAAGCGCCUGGUGUCAUCCUAAGAAAGACUUACAUGGUAGCAUGAGCAACACCAGUGGGAUGUUGAAAUGCUACCCAGCUGGGUGUUUGGCAUGAUGAUACACGAAGGUGGGGUAGAUAAACGGUGCCCGCUGAUAACACUGGACUGCCCAGAGUGUGCUCCCGCGUCACCAUUACCAGGCUCAUUACGCACGGUCCAUAUUUGAUCACUGACGACAGACCUCCUCACUGCUUUGCAAGGCAUGAAUGGCUCACUGCUUAGGGACAGGCUGCAUAUUAUUCAGUGCUUCGGUUCUGAAGAACUCAGCACUAUCAGACAUACAGGAUGACUGCUCGUGUGGCUGUCUUUUAAGCAGUCGCUAACCAUCUCUAACACAUUUUCACCCAUUGCAUCUCCUAAAUUUCUUCACAGCAUUACAUGGAGCGUGUAAUAACUAAAAUGAAAU